CCAGCACCUGCGGUAAUUCCAGCUCCAAUAGCGUAUAUUCAAGUUGUUGCAGUUAAAAAGCUCGUAGUUGAAUUUCUGGUCUGCCUAGGUGGUUUAGCCGCAAGGUUAACACUGCCUUUGGGUGGAUCUUUACCCUUCUGGGGAGCCUAUGUGCUCUUUGUUGAGUGCGUAGGGGAACCAGGACAGUUACUUUGAAAAAAUUAGAGUGUUUAAAACAGGCCGAAUGUGCUUGAAUACAUUAGCAUGGAAUAACGGAAUAGGACUUUGUUUCUAUUUUGUUGGUUUGAGAAACGAAGUAAUGAUUAAUAGGGACAGUUGGGGGCAUUAGUAUUCCAUUGUCAGAGGUGAAAUUCUUGGAUUUAUGAAAGACUAACUUCUGCGAAAGCAUUUGCCAAGGAUG
rnacentral:rRNA from 1 species